rnacentral:piRNA from 1 species
UAACCUACUUAGUGUUUCCACCAUGGGUU